rnacentral:rRNA from 1 species
AGAGUUUGAUUCUGGCUCAGGACGAACGCUGGCGGCGCGCCUAACACAUGCAAGUCGAACGGAGUUAUGUUGACAGAAGCCUUCGGGUGGAAGAUGAUAUAACUUAGUGGCGGACGGGUGAGUAACACGUGAGCAACCUGCCUAUCAGAGGGGGAUAACGUUCUGAAAAGAACGCUAAUACCGCAUAAUGUACGAAAGGGACAUCCAUUUUGUACCAAAGGAGCAAUCCGCUGAUAGAUGGGCUCGCGUCCGAUUAGGUAGUUGGUGAGGUAACGGCUCACCAAGCCGACGAUCGGUAGCCGGACUGAGAGGUUGAACGGCCACAUUGGGACUGAGACACGGCCCAG